rnacentral:lncRNA from 1 species
UGAGAGAUGCCUCGGGGUAGGAUAAGAGCGAGGCUCCGAUGGAGUCAUCUCUAUACUUUCUCUUGUUAUAAGCCAAGUGCCACUGAAGAAGGACCACAUUCUAUCGAAGGCCAUGGAAACUCACGAGUUGUGCACUGCAACCAACCCCUUAUGCACAAGAAAAAACCCUUUAAAUAUCGAUCGAAUUACAUAUCAACAACCAAGUAUAAUUUUAUCACUUUCUUACCUAAAGCUUUGUAUGAACAGUUCCACAGAGUUGCCAAUUUGUACUUCCUUGGAGCUGCA